UGGCCCAGUGAUGACAAGUAUCGCGCUAAGAGGGACCAUGUUGCUAAAUGUACAGAAAUGAUCUCUUGACUUUUCUUUCUCUUUCUUCUAUUUAUUUUUCUUGUCUCACUUUUGUCUUGAUCUUUUUCUCAUUUCUGCACCUUAGUGAACACAUGACCCUAUGAACAAAAAGAUUAUGAGAUCUGAGGGCCA